GCUGGGUGUGGUGGUGUACACCUGUGAUUCUGGCAACUCUGGAAGCUGAGGCAAGAGGAUCACAAGUUGGAGACCAGCCAGAGCAACUUGGGGAGACCUCAUCUCCA
rnacentral:sRNA from 1 species